UACGUAGGCAGCAAGCGUUGUUCGGAGUUACUGGGCGUAAAGAGUGCGUAGGCGGUCCUCUAAGUUCGGUGUGAAAUCUCCCGGCUCAACUGGGAGGGUGCGCCGGAAACUGGAGGGCUUGAGUAUGGGAGAGGAAAGCGGAAUUCCUGGUGUAGCGGUGAAAUGCGUAGAUAUCAGGAGGAACACCUGUGGUGUAGACGGCUUUCUGGACCAUGACUGACGCUGAGGCACGAAAGCGUGGGGAGCAAACAGG
rnacentral:rRNA from 1 species